GAUGAACGCUGGCGGCGUGCCUAAUACAUGCAAGUCGAGCGAACGGACGAGAAGCUUGCUUCUCUGAUGUUAGCGGCGGACGGGUGAGUAACACGUGGAUAACCUACCUAUAAGACUGGGAUAACCUCGGGAAACCGGAGCUAAUACCGGAUAAUAUUUUGAACCGCAUGGUUCAAAAGUGAAAGACGGUCUUGCUGUCACUUAUAGAUGGAUCCGCGCUGCAUUAGCUAGUUGGUAAGGUAACGGCUUACCAAGGCAACGAUGCAUAGCCGACCUGAGAGGGUGAUCGGCCACACUGGAACUGAGACACGGUCCAGACUCCUACGGGAGGCAGCAGUAGGGAAUCUUCCGCAAUGGGCGAAAGCCUGACGGAGCAACGCCGCGUGAGUGAUGAAGGUCUUCGGAUCGUAAAACUCUGUUAUCAGGGAAGAACAUAUGUGUAAGUAACUGUGCACAUCUUGACGGUACCUAAUCAGAAAGCCACGGCUAACUACGUG
rnacentral:rRNA from 1 species